AGUGAAAAUCGUGAAAAUCAAGGUGGUCUUAUAGCUUAUACUGGACACAGUGUGAUCUGUGCCGUACGCGCCCAUCGACUUGGAUUGACACUCUUUCAUCUUUUACCCCAAUGUGAUGGUGAAAAUUGGUCCCAAAGGUGACGCAGAAUGCACCGCCGUAAACGCGGGGCAAUACGGCCCAAAACAAACCGAAGAGCGGCCAAGGUUGCUAGACUACUUUCUUUACCAAACGUUUGUUCCUGCAACGUCACAAGUCCCCGAGGUGCCACACGCAGCUAGCAAACGAACGCGUACAACAUAUGUUUUACGGUGUAUAACAUAUUUAUAGCGUUGAAGAACCAAAACCGGAAAAAAAACAAACGCGAGCCAAAAAACAAUCUCGUCGUCACUCCCAUUUUUGUUAAAGCAAGGAGCUAAAACAAACGCCCUGCGGACAUCAUCAUCGGUCAUUGUUCUUCGCGAGGAAUUGAAAGCACGGAGCUAAAAAACACCCCCUGCGGACAUCGUCAUCAGUCAUUAUCCUUCGCGAGGAAUUGAAAGCAAGGAGCUAAAAAAAACCCCUUGCGGACAUCGUCAUCAGUCAUUAUCCUUCGCGAGGAAUUGAAAGCAAGGAGCUAAAACAAACACCCUGCGGACAUCAUCAUCAGUC